GUAGGCAGCAAGCGUUGUUCGGAGUUACUGGGCGUAAAGAGUGCGUAGGCGGUGCUCUAAGUUUGGUGUGAAAUCUCCCGGCUUAACUGGGAGGGUGCGCCGAAAACUGGAGUGCUUGAGUAUGGGAGAGGCAAGCGGAAUUCCUGGUGUAGCGGUGAAAUGCGUAGAUAUCAGGAGGAACACCUGUGGUGUAGACAGCUUGCUGGACCAUCACUGACGCUGAGGCACGAAAGCGUGGGUAGCAAACAGGAUUAGAUACCCUGGUAGUCCACGCCCUAAACGAUGCAUACUUGGUGUGAGCCAUUCAUUUGGUUCGUGCCGGAGCUAACGCGUUAAGUAUGCCGCCUGGGGAGUACGGUCGCAAGGCUG
rnacentral:rRNA from 1 species